GACGAACGCUGGCGGCGUGCUUAACACAUGCAAGUCGAACGGAAAGGCCCUGCUUUUGUGGGGUGCUCGAGUGGCGAACGGGUGAGUAACACGUGAGUAACCUGCCCUUGACUUUGGGAUAACUUCAGGAAACUGGGGCUAAUACCGGAUAGGAGCUCCUGCUGCAUGGUGGGGGUUGGAAAGUUUCGGCGGUUGGGGAUGGACUCGCGGCUUAUCAGCUUGUGGGUGGGGUAGUGGCUUACCAAGGCUUUGACGGGUAGCCGGCCUGAGAGGGUGACCGGCCACAUUGGGCCUGAGAUACGGCCCAGACUCCUACGGGAGGCAGCAGUGGGGAAUAUUGCACAAUGGGCGGAAGCCUGAUGCAGCAGCGCCGCGUGCGGGAUGACGGCCUUCGGGUUGUAAACCGCUUUCGCCUGUGACGAAGCGUGAGUGACGGUAAUGGGUAAAGAAGCACCGGCUAACUACGUG
rnacentral:rRNA from 1 species